GUGCUUGCUUUGGCAGCAUAUAUUCUAAAAUUGGAACAAUACAAAGAUCAGCGAGACCCCCUACCCAAGGAUGACACAAAAUUCAUGAAGCCCAGGAGAAUUUU
ensembl:snRNA U6 U6 spliceosomal RNA